GACGUAGGGCGCGAGCGUUGUCCGGAUUUAUUGGGCGUAAAGAGCUCGUAGGCGGUUUGUCACGUCUGCUGUGAAAACUCAGGGCUUAACCCUGAGCCUGCUUCCGAUACGGGCAGACUAGAGGUAUGCAGGGGAGAACGGAAUUCCUGGUGUAGCGGUGAAAUGCGCAGAUAUCAGGAGGAACACCGGUGGCGAAGGCGGUUCUCUGGGCAUUACCUGACGCUGAGGAGCGAAAGUGUGGGGAGCGAACAGG
rnacentral:rRNA from 1 species